rnacentral:rRNA from 1 species
UGUACUGUGAAACUGCGAAUGGCUCAUUAAAUCAGUUAUCGUUUAUUUGAUAGUACCUUACUACAUGGAUACCUGUGGUAAUUCUAGAGCUAAUACAUGCUAAAAACCCCGACUUCAGGAAGGGGUGUAUUUAUUAGAUAAAAAACCAACGCCCUUCGGGGCUCCUUGGUGAAUCAUAAUAACUUAACGAAUCGCAUGGCCUUGCGCCGGCGAUGGUUCAUUCAAAUUUCUGCCCUAUCAACUUUCGAUGGUAGGAUAGUGGCCUACCAUGGUGGCAACGGGUAACGGGGAAUUAGGGUUCGAUUCCGGAGAGGGAGCCUGAGAAACGGCUACCACAUCCAAGGAAGGCAGCAGGCGCGCAAAUUACCCAAUCCCGAUACGGGGAGGUAGUGACAAUAAAUACUGAUACGGGGCUCUUUUGGGUCUCGUAAUUGGAAUGAGAACAAUUUAAAUCCCUUAACGAGGAACAAUUGGAGGGCAAGUCUGGUGCCAGCAGCCGCGGUAAUUCCAGCUCCAAUAGCGUAUAUUAAAGUUGUUGCAGUUAAAAAGCUCGUAGUUGAACCUUGGGCCUGGCUGGCCGGUCCGCCUCACCGCGAGUACUGGUCCGGCUGGGCCUUUCCUUCUGGGGAACCUCAUGGCCUUCACUGGCUGUGGGGGGAACCAGGACUUUUACUGUGAAAAAAUUAGAGUGUUCAAAGCAGGCCUUUGCUCGAAUACAUUAGCAUGGAAUAAUAGAAUAGGACGUGUGGUUCUAUUUUGUUGGUUUCUAGGACCGCCGUAAUGAUUAAUAGGGAUAGUCGGGGGCGUCAGUAUUCAGCUGUCAGAGGUGAAAUUCUUGGAUUUGCUGAAGACUAACUACUGCGAAAGCAUUCGCCAAGGAUGUUUUCAUUAAUCAGGGAACGAAAGUUAGGGGAUCGAAGACGAUCAGAUACCGUCGUAGUCUUAACCAUAAACUAUGCCGACUAGGGAUCGGACGGGAUUCUAUAAUGACCCGUUCGGCACCUUACGAGAAAUCAAA